rnacentral:rRNA from 1 species
UGGGGAAUAUUGCACAAUGGGCGCAAGCCUGAUGCAGCCAUGCCGCGUGUAUGAAGAAGGCCUUCGGGUUGUAAAGUACUUUCAGUCGGGAGGAAGGUGUCAAGGUUAAUAACCUUGGCAAUUGACGUUACCGACAGAAGAAGCACCGGCUAACUCCGUGCCAGCAGCCGCGGUAAUACGGAGGGUGCAAGCGUUAAUCGGAAUUACUGGGCGUAAAGCGCACGCAGGCGGUUGAUUGAGUCAGAUGUGAAAUCCCCGGGCUUAACCCGGGAAUUGCAUCUGAUAAUGGUCAGCUAGAGGCUUGUAGAGGGGGGUAGAAUUCCAUGUGUAGCGGUGAAAUGCGUAGAGAUGUGGAGGAAUACCGGUGGCGAAGGCGGCCCCCUGGACAAAGACUGACGCUCAGGUGCGAAAGCGUGGGGAGCAAACAGG